GGAACCGGAUAUUUAAGUACAAUGGUGGGCUUAAUUUUAGGUCCUUUUGGAAUAAAUCAUGGGAUUGAGCUUCAUUCAGAUGUGGUGGAAUACGCCAAGGAAAAACUGGAGAGCUUCAUCAAAAAUAGUGAUAGCUUUGAUAAGUAAGUAUUCAUAUCUAUAGUUUUGGUUUGAAAUCACUUAAUAAAUACAUGCAACAUGUCUGUUGAACACUAUUAUUGAUCCUGACUGGCUCAACUGAAUGCAGCAAAAAUCAGUGCACCAUAAAAUGAGAAAAAGUUAAGAUUAUUCUGUGCUAUAACUUUUACGAUAUGUAAUUCUAUAGUAAAUUAUAAAUAAUGUGAUUUUUUGCUACUACCACUUUAUUAGUAAUGUUGAAUUCAUUAAACAUUCAGGUAUCUUUUCUGGAGAUACAGUGUAAUAAUGCUGUGAUUGCAGUAUUUGUCUGGAACUGGUUUUUUACCUUUUGGAUAGUAAUUUAGUAGUUCUGUCCUCUUCAGUUGUAACAUAAGAGGUGGUACCUGUCAGUAUACAAAGGACUUUAACAUAUUCAGCUACUUUGUUAAUAUAUCCAGAAGAAAUGAUCAUAGAAAUACAUUGAUAUAUCUUGUGAUAGGAUUGUUUAUAAGAAACUGGUUUAUAAAACCAUUGUUUUGAACUCACAAUAUAACUCCUCUUAGAAGAAACAUUGCACAGGCUUUGGUCCUUGGGCUGGCAGGAAAAGUCCAUUUGGUGUGUAAUCCUAAAAUUCUGCAUUGCUGUAGAUCAAGAGCACUUAUGCUGAAAUCCACGAGCUCUUUGAAAUUGUGUAAAAUUUGGAGACCUUUUACAUCUCUCAUUUCGCUGUGUAUCUGAUUUUCAAAGAGAAAAAGUGUUAAAAAGGAUAGAAAACACAAGCUUAGAACAGUCACUUUAAAGAACAAAGUUUUAGGCAAAAACACUGAGAAUUUCAACUUGGCUUGUUGGGAGUGGGCCCUCAUUUAUCUCCAACCCUUGG
rnacentral:sRNA from 1 species